AGGCAAUUAGUUUAAAGAAAACAUUUGAUUUCGGCUCAAAAACUUGCAGUUAGACCCCGUAGUUGCCUA
rnacentral:tRNA from 1 species